rnacentral:rRNA from 1 species
AUUGAACGCUGGCGGCAUGCUUUACACAUGCAAGUCGAACGGUAACAGGCCGCAAGGUGCUGACGAGUGGCGAACGGGGGAGUAAUGCAUCGGAACGUGCCCAGUCGUGGGGGAUAACGCAGCGAAAGCUGUGCUAAUACCGCAUACGAUCUAUGGAUGAAAGCGGGGGACCGUAAGGCCUCGCGCGAUUGGAGCGGCCGAUGUCAGAUUAGGUAGUUGGUGGGGUAAAGGCCUACCAAGCCGACGAUCUGUAGCUGGUCUGAGAGGACGACCAGCCACACUGGGACUGAGCCACGGCCCAGACUCCUACGGGAGGCAGCAGUGGGGAAUUUUGGACAAUGGGCGCAAGCCUGAUCCAGCAAUGCCGCGUGCAGGAAGAAGGCCUUCGGGUUGUAAACUGCUUUUGUACGGAACGAAACGGUCUGGGUUAAUACCCUGGGCUAAUGACGGUACCGUAAGAAUAAGCACCGGCUAACUACGUGCCAGCCGCCGCAGUAACAC